rnacentral:piRNA from 1 species
UGAUCAUCUCACCUGUGUCUAAUUGAG